rnacentral:RNase_P_RNA from 1 species
CGAUCGAGAGGAAAGUCCGGGCUCCACAGGGCACGGUGCUGGGCAAUUCCCAGCGAGGGUAACCUCGGGCAAGCGCAACAGAAAGCAAACCGCCGGAUCUUUUUGGUUCGGUAAGGGUGAAACGGUGAGGUAAGAGCUCACCGGCCGGUUGGGUGACCAGCCGGGCCAGGCAAGCCCCAUCGGGAGCAAGACCAAAUUGGGGACUUAGGCGGCCCGCUUAGUCCCAGGGUUGGUCGCUUGAGCGAUGGAGCAAUCCUUCGCCUAGAGGAAUGGUCGUCGCCUUGGUUUUUCUCGGAAAGCCAAGGAACAGAACCCGGCUUAUCGGUCGCCCGGCCGC